CCCCUAGUAACUGCGAGUGAAGCGGGAAAAGCUCAAAUUUAAAAUCUGGCGGUCUUUGACCGUCCGAGUUGUAGUCUGGAGAAGUGCUUUCCGCGCUGGACCGUGUAUAAGUCUCUUGGAACAGAGCGUCAUAGAGGGUGAGAAUCCCGUCUUUGACACGGACUACCAGUGCUUUGUGAUGCGCUCUCAAAGAGUCGAGUUGUUUGGGAAUGCAGCUCAAAAUGGGUGGUGAAUUCCAUCUAAAGCUAAAUAUUGGCGAGAGACCGAUAGCGAACAAGUACCGUGAGGGAAAGAUGAAAAGCACUUUGGAAAGAGAGUUAAACAGUACGUGAAAUUGCUGAAAGGGAAACGCUUGAAGUCAGUCGCGUUGUCCGGAACUCAGCCUUGCUUUCGCUUGGUGCACUUUCCGGAUGACGGGUCAGCAUCGAUUUUGACCGUCGGAAAAGGGCUGGAGUAAUGUGGCACCUCCGGGUGUGUUAUAGACUCUGGUCGCAUACGAUGGUUGGGAUCGAGGAACGCAGCGCGCCGCAAGGCAGGGGUUCGCCCACUUUCGCGCUUAGGAUGCUGGCAUAAUGGCUUUAAACGACCCGUCUUGAAACACGGACCAAGGAGUCUAACAUACCUGCGAGUGUUUGGGUGGAAAACCCGAGCGCGUAAUGAAAGUGAAAGUUGGGAUCCCUGUCGUGGGGAGCACCGACGCCCGGACCUGACGUUCUCUGACGGAUCCGCGGUAGAGCAUGUAUGUUGGGACCCGAAAGAUGGUGAACUAUGCCUGAAUAGGGUGAAGCCAGAGGAAACUCUGGUGGAGGCUCGUAGCGA
rnacentral:rRNA from 1 species